rnacentral:lncRNA from 1 species
CUCACAUAUUAACUGGUUUGAAUGCAAGGGGAAAGAGAGAAAAUUACAUCUGAGGUGUAUUUUAGUCCAUGCUGGGGCAAGGCAGGGAUGCAGAAGUGUAUUUCUCUACUUCAUCCUUCAUCCAGCAGAGUUGGACAAGGAUUCUUCUGGAGUUUAAGGGGUUGCCUGGGUGAGGAGUGGGGUAUGUAAAAGUUUAGCAACCAGCUUUCAAGUGAGUGAAGACCAACAGCAAUGGG